AGAAGCUACUAGAGGUGCCUGUUACAGGCUGAGAGAAAAGCAUGGGGGCUUUUCAACUCUUUGAACCUGAUCUGGUUGAUACCAGCGUAGGAAAGUAGAGCAUUGAUUAC
rnacentral:ncRNA from 1 species